UGCACACAAAGUAUGUACUCCAAUUGUGUUUUUUUUUCUGUCUGCUGAACAUUUAAAUUGUCAUGGGAAAUGCGAUUGCAUUAUUGUUUCAUGUGUUGUUAUAUAUACAAAUAUAUAGUUACGUUUAUAUGAAGGACUUUUAUUUUGACAUUCUGUCUGGAGAGUCGUGACAGGAACUGGGAAUUGCGCGCGCUUCCUCAUAUCUGCUGAGGAGCUGUUGAAGAGCAGACGCGACUCUCUGGUGUCUUUUCAAUCCUGUUUUACAGGACGACGUCUCAUCUGGCGACGAGUACAUCCCAGCGUCUGUGUCGGAUUCAGAAAGCUCAGGGACGGAGUCGAGUGUUGAGUUGCCUGGACCAUCCAAAAAGUCCCGUACCACUAAUUGGCCUGAUUUAGGUGUUACUUUCCCUGAACAAGACCAGACCAUGGAUAUAGAGGACAACUCGAGGGAUAUCUGUAAGAAUAUCCUGAUGGAUCUAGAAACUACUGGUGAUCUCCAAAGUGACCCAGAACCAGAAAGCUCAGAGUCAUACCUGCAGAAAACAAAAGAUGCGAGUAACGAAAAGGGCGCUGUGGGUGUUCUUGGCCAAAGUAAAUCCACCAACCAAAUCAGCGAAAUUCAUUAAAAGCCAAGUCAAUUGUUGUUUUGUAUGUGAAAAACCAACUCAAACAAAAUUUGCACGUCAUCUCGAGAGGCACGUCAAUGAAAAUGCUGAAAUCGCACAGGCGCUCCAGUUCCCCAAAUCAUCGAAGGACAGAAAGGUUCUUCUUGAGAAAUUCCGAAUCCUUGGCAACUUCGAGCAUAUAACUCUACUGCUGCCUUAAAGUGAAAAGGAGUUCCAAACAGAGCAGCAGCACUGAGACUUACGAUCACUGCCAAACUUUCUCUGAGACCUGAGAAUAACACUGAAGAGGGACCCGAGUUUAGAGAGAGAGCCUUUGGUGUAUAGCAUCUGCUCAGUCUACAAUGUCCCAGCCAAUUUCAAGUGAACUUUCCACUGCAAUAAGGAACGAUCAUUAUGUCGUCAUGCAACAGCAGCAACUUCUUUAUUCUUACUAGUGCUGUCAAGAGAGUUUCAGGUUUUGAUCAUGAAAACAACACUUUCAAAGCCCCAAGUUUGGCCCUGAAAAUUGGGCAUUCUCUCAGAAAGACAAGUGACCUCAUCAUGCGUCGUGUCCUCACGGAAGAGGACCGAGAGGCGAUCGAUUCCAUCGGGAGGUUUCGUGCACUUCAUGAAACAAAGUGGUCUGAAUUAGUUUCCCAUUCUGCCUUGUCUAACCUGAGCGAGGCAAAAUACAACAAGAGCUAAGGAUAUUCGAGGAAAAACGAAAUUGGUGAUGGCGCAGACGACGAUAUGGAUGCGGGAUCGCAACUACUCCUUAAUGUUUCCACAUCGCAAGGUACUGUUAAAUUGGGUUCCAAGGCUACUGAAAUUGUUGCACGAAAUGAAAUGCUGAAGAAAUGUCGGCUUCUGGGACUUUUGAAUCACCUCACCUCUCCGAGACUGCAGCUCAAGAUGACCAGGGGAACGCUGCCUGUGUAACUUCCGGAUCACCUCAUCUCCCCGACUCAGUCACUCAAGACGACCAGGGGAACGCUGCCUGUGUAACUUCCGGAUCACCUCACUCAUGUGCAGUCAACACUUACGUGGUUUGUUUAGACGUAUAAGGUGUCCAUGUCAAAUCUAGGCGGUGUGCGAAGAGACCGUGGUCCGAGGAGGAGAUACGAGCCGUGAUGAAACCUAUGAGGCCUUUGAUUGAAAACGGG